GAUUGAUGAAGUUGCUGGGUAUGGUUUCUGGAGUGAAGAAGCGUUUCUCAUAAAGCCUUUCUUUUCCUCAUAUUCAGCCCAGCCUCAGCGUGUUCUCUCCGUGCAAAAUUCAAGUUCUUCUUACUCGACUCCAAUCCACUUCUUAGUCUUUCUUGCCAGCAGACUGCCGACGCCGCUUCGUUCGGUCCAAAGUUUGAUGACAAUCACACUUUCUACUGGAUACAUCAGCUGAAAUGGAUGAUUUUGACUUAGAAAUGGAGGAGAUGGAAUUAACUGCAGCAGCGGCUGGUUACCAUUAUUAUAGCAGUAUUACCAAGCAACCUUGUCAUAGUUUGUCACCAAGUAAAGGAUGUGGAUUUAU
rnacentral:lncRNA from 1 species